rnacentral:rRNA from 1 species
UGACCUCGGAUCAGGUAGGGAUACCCGCUGAACUUAAGCAUAUCAAUAAGCGGAGGAAAAGAAACCAACCGGGAUUGCCUCAGUAACGGCGAGUGAAGCGGCAAGAGCUCAAAUUUGAAAGCUGGCUCCUUCGGAGUCCGCAUUGUAAUUUGCAGAGGAUGCUUUGGGUGCGGCCCCCGUCUAAGUGCCCUGGAACGGGCCGUCAGAGAGGGUGAGAAUCCCGUCUUGGGCGGGGUGUCCGUGCCCGUGUAAAGCUCCUUCGACGAGUCGAGUUGUUUGGGAAUGCAGCUCUAAAUGGGUGGUAAAUUUCAUCUAAAGCUAAAUACUGGCCGGAGACCGAUAGCGCACAAGUAGAGUGAUCGAAAGAUGAAAAGCACUUUGAAAAGAGAGUUAAACAGCACGUGAAAUUGUUGAAAGGGAAGCGCUUGCGACCAGACUCGCCCGCGGGGUUCAGCCGGCAUUCGUGCCGGUGUACUUCCCCGUGGGCGGGCCAGCGUCGGUUUGGGCGGCCGGUCAAAGGCCCCUGGAAUGUAGUGCCCUCCGGGGCACCUUAUAGCCAGGGGUGCAAUGCGGCCAGCCUGGACCGAGGAACGCGCUUCGGCACGGACGCUGGCAUAAUGGUCGUAAACGACC